rnacentral:rRNA from 1 species
CCUACGGGGGGCAGCAGUGGGGGAUAUUGCACAAUGGGGGGUACCCUGAUGCAGCGACGCCGCGUGGGUGAAGAAGCGCCUCGGCGCGUAAAGCCCUGUCAGCAGGGAAGAAAAUGACGGUACCUGAAGAAGUAGCCCCGGCUCACUACGUGCCAGCAGCCGCGGUAAUACGUAGGCGGCAAGCGUUAUCCGGAUUUACUGGGGUUAAAGGGGGCGCAGACGGGGAUGCAAGCCAGGAGGGAAAGCCCGGGGCCCAACCCCGGGACUGCUCUUGGAACUGCGUGGCUGGAGUGCAGGAGGGGCAGGCGGAAUUCGUGGUGUAGCGGUGAAAUGCGUAGAUAUCAGGAGGAACACCGGUGGCGAAGGCGGCCUGCUGGACGAUGACUGACGUUGAGGCUCGAAAGCGUGGGGAGCAAACAGGAUUAGAUACCCGAGUAGUC